GAAAAUUCAGAUCGCGUCUGUGCGGUGGGGGAAGAGACUGACAGUGACUGUGAACUGGAGUCAUGGAUAAAAUCGUGCGCGGCAGGGAACUGGAAGGCUUAAAAAGAUCAGCACUGUCACUCAUCCUGAAGAGUAGUACUUUCUUGUUUUCAGUUUUAUUUGCAUGAAAGCCAUACGUGUUGCCCGACACGUAAUGGUCCAUUGUAAGGGCCACCUCAUGUUUCAUUUUGCAACAUUUCUGCAUCAUUAAUAAAUGGAUGUUUUU
rnacentral:lncRNA from 1 species